GCCGGGCCGGCGUCCCCCGGGGAACGGGGCCCGUCGCCAUGUACAGAGUGCCCGCCACGGCCACCGCUGCAGCCCCGGGUCGGCCCCUCCACCCUCUCCCACGGGGCGGCUGCGGGUCCUGCGGCCACCCUCUGGCACCUGGCCAGCCCCCCUCUGCGUGGCGGGAAAGAGCCGUCCAGUUGCAGCCGCACGGCUCCUACCACGGACGGUCCGUGGCCCCGUCAAGCGCACGGUGCCCGUCUCCCGCGAUUAUGCUGCGGGACGCCCGGCCCGGGCACCGAGUGGGCACCGGCCAACCCCCGGGCCCGCGGCUGCUUCCUGCCGACACCCCCAAGCCGCGGAGGGAGGGGCCGAGGCCCGGGUCCCUGGCGGAGCAGGCGCCUGGACCGGGUUGGCUUUUCCAGGUCCCGAGGGGGCCUUGGGGCUCCCCCGCUGCGGCCGGCUGGGCCCCACCACAUGCACUGGGAGACCACUGGCCGGGAAUUCCCCAAAUCAUACUUAGAUGGCGUGUCUCCUGGAGGUGAGACGGGGCUCUCCACUCGUUCAACCAAAACACAUUGCAAGGGAGGUUGGUGUUCAUGAAUUUUUACGACGACACGUCUGCAUUUAUCUGGCCUUUGUUUUAUUUUAAUUUUCGUCUUCGCGCCUUCCUGUUUGGGGCCGGCGCGGCUGUGGGGCGGGCUUUGCCUGGAACCCUCGGUGUGGGCUGUCUAAAUAUUUUAUCCGCCAGCUGCUAACAGGACGUGUCAUCGGGAGCCCGACCCCUAGCCGCACCAGGGAAAGGGCUCCCCGCCCAGCCCCGUCCUCUUUAGUCUUUGGAAUUUUUGGCGUUUGGAUCACGCAGCCCCUGGGAGCAGGCUUUUUAUCUUUAUUUUUGAUGAGAACGGAGCAGAGGUUUCUGCAGAUAUGAAAUCCCCCCGACUCCCACUGACGACCCUGAGACGUCCCUACCUACCGUUUGCUUUGUUUGGGCCACCAGGCCGGAAGGCUCGGAGGCGGAGGUCAGGGACAGAAGGGGCCGGGCUGUGGGAGGAGGGGGCGUGGAAGGAACUUUCUGGAGAUAACAAAGAAAACCAGAGCUGGGAGCCUGUGGGGGGCUGGUCGUCUGCUCCUUCGGCAGGACCGGGACGGCUGCCCUUCUGAGUCCUUCAUUGUCCUCGGGUGCCACCGGGCUGCUCGUCUCUCAAAAGGUGCCUACCCUCGGGAGGACCCUGGAUACCUGUCAGUGAGACUGUCCAGGCCUCUUCUGGUUGGGAAAAGUGCAGGGUGCAACCUGCACAGCUGUACGUGGAAGCCCUAAAGAUCGGCUCUCCUCCAGGGCCCAUGUCCACCUCGGGAGCUCCUGCUGUGGGGUCCCACUCUCGGCACCCCUGCAGCCUUGCGGUGUGAGUGUGCCCAUCAGGGAUCCCGGGACCUCACCCACAGCAGGCGGGCAUCCAAGCUCGGCCAGCUUUGUUCUGAGGGUCCGCGUCCUCCUCUGCUUUAGGCGAGCAGGUCUGGGGCAGCGCUGGGCUGGACCCCCUCCCCUGGCACCUGCCCCGGCAGCUCCCCGGGCCGGUCCACCUCCCGCCUCCGGCCAGCCUCCUGGUGCUUCUGCUUUGACUUCCCCGUGGCGGCGUGACUGUCCCCACCCCGCCAGAUUGGUGGUUACUGCUGAGCUUGUGAAGAGCACCUCCAAGCAAGCCACGCUCGUCCCAGAAUCAGGAGAGGGCGAGGGCGGCUUGGUGUAGAGCCCACUGGGCUCUGUCUCCGCACUUUGCAAACUUCAGGGCAUUUUUACGGGGAUCAUGCUCUGCACAAUUCCACGGCCUGCUCUUUCUCCUCUGGUCCCCAGGGAGCAUCUGGCCCUGUCCAGGUCGGACACGCGCUUUAUUAAAGGUGCUGUGAAAAUCUG